UAAGGCUUUUUAAAAAGCUGGCAGCAACUGAAGGUGGAACAAGGAAUAUUGUAGUGACCAACUGCACGUCUAUUAUACUGUUAUGUUGCAAGAUGUAAUUGGAAAGACUUUCCGAGUUCUGGGUUAUACCAUUCAGUAUGGGUGCAUAGCCCAUUGUGUUUUUGAAUAUCUUGGAGGAAUUGUGAUGUGUACAGGACCUUCAAUGGAGCCUACAAUUCAAAAUUCUGAUAUUGUAUUUUCAGAGAAUCUUAGCAGCCACUUUUAUCGUAUUCAGAAAGGUGAUAUUGUCAUUGCAAAAAACCCAUCUGACCCCAAAACAAAUAUUUGUAAAAGAGUAAUGGGCCUGGAAGGAGAAAAAAUCUGUACAAGCAAUCCCUCAGAUUUUAUAAAGACCCACAGUUAUGUACCUAAAGGACAUGUUUGGUUAGAAGGUGAUAAUCUCAGGAAUUCUACAGAUUCCAGGUGUUAUGGUCCUGUUCCAUAUGGAUUGAUAAGAGGACGAAUUUGCUUUAAGAAGGAAAUCACAAUGUCUUCUCUCCACGACAACUGCUCUGUAAGAUAUUACAUAAAAUAAAAAGUUGAUGAAAAACAUUUCUUCUGAGACACAACAUUAUAAACAUGUCAGAUGUUUUCAACCACUAUAUGCCGGAUGAAGGCCUCUUCCCCAUGUUUCCAACCAAUACGGUCUUGAGCUUUCUUUUCCCAAUUGGCCCCACAAUACUUGCUGAUGUCAUCGAUCCAUCUUGGGUCUUUUAUGGAUGCUUAUUAUCAAGUGGAAUCCAUUC